rnacentral:rRNA from 1 species
AAUAGAUACCCGGGUAGUCCACGCCGUAAACUAUGGAUGCUAGCUGUUAUGAGUAUCGACCCUCGUAGUAGCGAAGCUAACGCGUUAAGCAUCCCGCCUGUGGAGUACGAGCGCAAGCUUAAAACAUAAAGGAAUUGACGGGGACCCGCACAAGCGGUGGAGCGUGUUGUUUAAUUCGAUGAUAAGCGUAGAACCUUACCAAGGCUUGACAUCCCUGGAAGGUCUCCGAAAGGAGACUGUGCCUUCGGGAAUCAGGUGACAGGUGCUGCAUGGCCGUCGUCAGCUCGUGUCGUGAGAUGUUUGGUUAAGUCCAUCAACGAGCGCAACCCUUAUAAAUAGUCGAAUUUUUCAUUUAGACCGCCUCGGUAACGGGGAGGAAGGAGGGGAUGACGUCAGGUCAGUAUUGCCCUUAUGCCUUGGGCUACAAACACGCUACAAUGGCCGGUACAAAGGGCUGCCAACCCGCGAGGGGGAGCAAAUCCCAUCAAAACCGGUCCCAGUUCGGAUAGCAGGCUGAAACUCGCCUGCUUGAAGUCGGAAUCGCUAGGUAAC